GAUGAACGCUAGCUACAGGCUUAACACAUGCAAGUCGAGGGGUAGCAGGGUAGCAAUACCGCUGACGACCGGCGCACGGGUGAGUAACACGUAUCCAACCUUCCCAUAACUCGGGGACAGCCUUUCGAAAGAAAGAUUAAUACCCGAUAGUACUUAUAUAGGGCAUCCUACAUAAGUUAAAGAUUUAUUGGUUAUGGAUGGGGAUGCGUUCCAUUAGAUAGUUGGUGAGGUAACGGCUCACCAAGUCUUCGAUGGAUAGGGGUUCUGAGAGGAAGGUCCCCCACAUUGGUACUGAGACACGGACCAAACUCCUACGGGAGGCAGCAGUGAGGAAUAUUGGUCAAUGGGCGAGAGCCUGAACCAGCCAAGUAGCGUGAAGGAUGAAGGUCCUAUGGAUUGUAAACUUCUUUAUAGUAGAAUAAAGUGAUCCACGUGUGGAUUUUUGUAUGUAUACUAUGAAUAAGGAUCGGCUAACUCCGUGCCAGCCGCCGCUGUAA
rnacentral:rRNA from 1 species